rnacentral:rRNA from 2 species
GGACUACCGGGGUAUCUAAUCCUGUUUGCUCCCCACGCUUUCGUGCAUGAGCGUCAAUCUUAGCCCAGGGGGCUGCCUUCGCCAUCGGUAUUCCUCCACAUCUCUACGCAUUUCACUGCUACACGUGGAAUUCUACCCCCCUCUGCCAGAUUCUAGCCUUGCAGUCUCCAAUGCCAUUCCCAGGUUGAGCCCGGGGAUUUCACAUCAGACUUACAAAACCGCCUGCGCACGCUUUACGCCCAGUAAUUCCGAUUAACGCUUGCACCCUACGUAUUACCGCGGCUGCUGGCAC